rnacentral:rRNA from 1 species
UACGUAGGGAGCAAGCGUUAUCCGGAUUUACUGGGUGUAAAGGGCGCGCAGGCGGGCUUGCAAGUUGGGAGUGAAAUCCCGGGGCUCAACCCCGGAACUGCUUUCAAAACUGUGAGUCUUGAGUGAUGGAGAGGCAGGCGGAAUUCCCAGUGUAGCGGUGAAAUGCGUAGAUAUUGGGAGGAACACCAGUGGCGAAGGCGGCCUGCUGGACAUUAACUGACGCUGAGGCGCGAAAGCGUGGGGAGCAAAC